rnacentral:ribozyme from 1 species
ACGAACCAACAAAAGAAAGGAGACACCGAGAGAGUCAUCUGCGUCUCUAAUUCGUCAAAUUUCUUUCGCUUUCUUCGAACAGUCCAUUGUUGAAUUUUCAUUUGCCUUCUAUCGACUGGCCACGGAGAA